rnacentral:rRNA from 1 species
UGCAAGUCGAAGGAGAAGGUAAGUGCUUGCACUUACUGGAGACUGGCGGACGGGUGAGUAACGCGUAGAUAACCUGCCUAUAUCUGGGGGAUAACAUUUCGAAAGGGAUGCUAAUACCGCAUAAUGCAGCGGGGCCGCAUGGCCACAGUUGUUAAAAGCGAGAGCUGGAUAUAGAGGGGUCUGCGUACUAUUAGUUAGUUGGCGA